CCUACGGGGGGCAGCAGUGAGGAAUAUUGGUCAAUGGACGAGAGUCUGAACCAGCCAAGUAGCGUGAAGGAUGACUGCCCUAUGGGUUGUAAACUUCUUUUAUAUGGGAAUAAAACGUUCCACGUGUGGGAUUUUGUAUGUACCAUAUGAAUAAGGAUCGGCUAACUCCGUGCCAGCAGCCGCGGUAAUACGGAGGAUCCGAGCGUUAUCCGGUUUUAUUGGGUUUAAAGGGAGCGUAGGUGGAUUGUUAAGUCAGUUGUGAAAGUUUGCGGCUCAACCGUAAAAUUGCAGUUGACACUGGCAGUCUUGAGUACAGUAGAGGUGGGCUGAAUUCGUGGUGUAGCGGUGAAAUGCUUAGAUAUCACGAAGAACUCCGAUUGCGAAGGCAGUUCACUGGACUGCAACUGACACUGAGGCUCGAAAGUGUGGGUAUCAAACAGGAUGAGAUACCCGGGUAGUC
rnacentral:rRNA from 1 species